rfam:Loxodonta africana unplaced genomic scaffold scaffold_1, whole genome shotgun sequence.
AGUGGUUAAGAGCUUGGCUGCUAACCAAGAGGUUGGCAGUUCGAAUCUACCAGCCACUC